GGGCUGUUCAGAUUAAAACAUUUGGGGUCUACUGUUUGGUUUAAAAGUCACCUCUAAGAUUUUCUGUGCUGCUGGUGGGGAAUUUUAGGGUUUUGUUGACUUGAGUGGCACCCAGGAGAAGGGCGUGGACCUAGCUUAAACAUGUCCGUUUUGGUCCAGAGCUUAGUAUGUUCCUCAGAUAAGUAACCACGUGAAUACCAGAACGAUACCAGAUACGAGAACCACUUCCUCGAGACAGUCACCCAUGGGUUUGACGAACUGUUAAUUAGCUCCGGAGGCAACCACCACACAUCAGGUGUCCACCUGACGCCUCUCGAAGAAGAUCUGGAGCUGUAGAUAACCUAGGACAGCACCGGAAGAAGCCUUCACACCACAAGCUAAGUUUUUAAUUGAAUCUUAUAUUUACCUGUCAGCAGAGACAGUUUUCUUAUAUACAGUAACUUCACAAUUACUAUAAUGUAGAUCCUGAAUUAUAACUAAUGAAAUGAGAAAAUAAAGCAUUUAUACCGAAA